rnacentral:rRNA from 1 species
UACGGGGGGGCAGCGUUGUUCGGAAUUACUGGGCGUAAAGAGCUCGUAGGCGGUGUGUCGCGUCGGCCGUGAAAACCUGCAGCUUAACUGUGGCGUGCGGUCGAUACGGGCAUCACUGGAGUUCGGCAGGGGAGACUGGAAUUCCUGGUGUAGCGGUGAAAUGCGCAGAUAUCAGGAGGAACACCGGUGGCGAAGGCGGGUCUCUGGGCCGAUACUGACGCUGAGGAGCGAAAGCGUGGGGAGCAAACAGG